rnacentral:lncRNA from 1 species
AGAGCAUGUGAGAUACAGGACUACAGGACAGGAAAAAAAGGACUCUGCUAAGGCCAUGAAGCCCAGGAACUUUCUCCACAUUCUCUAAUCUUUACACAGUCCUAAAGGAGGCUGUUGCAAUUAGGAUGGCGAAUGGUGAAAAACAGUGUGGUUGAAUUGAACAUAAGCUGAAGGGCUAGACAUCAUGGCUUCAAUCCUUGUGGAGGUAAGAGAGCUGGGACAUCAGACAUCAGCAGGUGGCCUUGGCUCCUUUUCCUUCAUUUAUAAUUUUACUAAAAUCCUUUCAGAAUAAGGGCUGAUCACCACUGGGAAAUUUAAGGCAUAAUCUGCCUUUACUCUAUCCUCCCAUUUUGGGUGGCUAAUCCAGCCACUGUAAUGUAAAGAAGGACCUUGUGGUUCAUAGCUUUUGGUUUCUGGCAUCUAUGUAUGUUUAAUAUUCCACCUUUCUGAACUUAUCUUUACUAUCAAUCAAUGAUCUGCUAGGGGACAGAGAUUUACUCAUGGUUCUUGCAUAGCACGUUGUUUCCUGAUAGGUGUUCAGAAAAGAAAUUUUUUUUAAACUAUUCCAGUUUAAUUGACUGAGAGACUCAAGGUCACAAGCCCAAAUAUUAUUCAAUAACCACAUACCACAUCCUUGCUGAUUUCCAUGACAUAAAACUACAACGUAUAGACAUUGGCUGCCACAGGAGAACAUGAUUUACUGAACCUUCCAAUCUGCUGUGAAAGGGAACCUGAAAUUUGCUGUAAAUUACAAGCCCAAGGAUCAGAACAUAUUCAUCCAUUUCCCUAUGAAUUAGGGGAGACUUGGUGAAGAUAUUUGGCCACACUGGAAAGGGAAAUCUUCCCCUUUCUUGAGGUUUUAUGCUAUGUACUUACUUAUGCCAAUGUCUCAAACACCAUAUGUAGAUACGUGUAGAUGAGAGGGAGUUUAAAAUAAGGAAGAAUGUAGCAGAUUUCAAACAGUUUUUUUCUAUGCCAUUACAUAUACUAUAGUAUUAAAACAUAACAAAAA